CAGCCGCCGCGGGAAUACGAAGGGGGCUAGCGUUGUUCGGAAUUACUGGGCGUAAAGCGCACGUAGGCGGACAUUUAAGUCAGGGGUGAAAUCCCGGGGCUCAACCCCGGAACUGCCUUUGAUACUGGGUGUCUAGAGUAUGGAAGAGGUGAGUGGAAUUCCGAGUGUAGAGGUGAAAUUCGUAGAUAUUCGGAGGAACACCAGUGGCGAAGGCGGCUCACUGGUCCAUUACUGACGCUGAGGUGCGAAAGCGUGGGGAGCAAACAGGAUUAGAUACCCGGGUAGUCCCUGUCUCUUAUAU
rnacentral:rRNA from 1 species